GAUGAACGCUGGCGGCGUGCCUAAUACAUGCAAGUCGAGCGAACAGACGAGGAGCUUGCUCCUCUGACGUUAGCGGCGGACGGGUGAGUAACACGUGGAUAACCUACCUAUAAGACUGGGAUAACUUCGGGAAACCGGAGCUAAUACCGGAUAAUAUAUUGAACCGCAUGGUUCAAUAGUGAAAGACGGUUUUGCUGUCACUUAUAGAUGGAUCCGCGCCGCAUUAGCUAGUUGGUAAGGUAACGGCUUACCAAGGCAACGAUGCGUAGCCGACCUGAGAGGGUGAACGGCCACACUGGAACUGAGACACGGUCCAGACUCCUACGGGAGGCAGCAGUAGGGAAUCUUCCGCAAUGGGCGGAAGCCUGACGGAGGAACGCCGCGUGAGUGAUGAAGGUCUUCGGAUCGUAAAACUCUGUUAUUAGGGAAGAACAAAUGUGUAAGUAACUAUUCACGUCUUGACGGUACCUAAUCAGAAAGCCACGGCUAACUACGUG
rnacentral:rRNA from 1 species